UACGUAGGGGGCAAGCGUUAUCCGGAUUUACUGGGUGUAAAGGGAGCGUAGACGGAAUUGCAAGUCUGAUGUGAAAAUCCGGGGCCCAACCCCGGAAGUGCAUUGGAAACUGUAUUUCUAGAGUGUCGGAGAGGCAAGUGGAAUUCCUGGUGUAGCGGUGAAAUGCGUAGAUAUCAGGAGGAACACCAGUGGCGAAGGCGGCUUGCUGGACGAUGACUGACGUUGGGGCUCGAAAGCGUGGGGAGCAAACAGG
rnacentral:rRNA from 1 species